GACGAACGCUGGCGGCGUGCUUAACACAUGCAAGUCGAGCGGUAAGGCCCUUCGGGGUACACGAGCGGCGAACGGGUGAGUAACACGUGGGUGAUCUGCCUCGUACUUCGGGAUAAGCCUGGGAAACUGGGUCUAAUACCGGAUAUGACUACAGGAUGCAUGUCUUGUGGUGGAAAGAUUUAUCGGUGCGAGAUGGGCCCGCGGCCUAUCAGCUUGUUGGUGGGGUAAUGGCCUACCAAGGCGACGACGGGUAGCCGACCUGAGAGGGUGACCGGCCACACUGGGACUGAGACACGGCCCAGACUCCUACGGGAGGCAGCAGUGGGGAAUAUUGCACAAUGGGCGGAAGCCUGAUGCAGCGACGCCGCGUGAGGGAUGACGGCCUUCGGGUUGUAAACCUCUUUCGACAGGGACGAAGCGUGAGUGACGGUACCUGUAGAAGAAGCACCGGCCAACUACGUG
rnacentral:rRNA from 1 species